UUUGGCCAGAGGAGACUUCAGGGCCCAGAGCAUGCCCGUCAGCAAAGUCUCCCCUGGCUUCUGCAGAAGAACUCUGGUCAUCCAGGUGAGGGACCACAGGCCAGCCAGCUGUUCCUUCCAGACGUCUCCAGAAACCUCUAUGAGUCCCUUGGAAGGUAACAAACUCAGACCAAGAUGAGAAUACUGAUGUUCAGAGCAACCGACUGAACCCCUGGAAGUCACUCAUACUGAAAAUGGCAAAGCAGUAUCUGCCCCUGCUCUGUCCAAUGCUAACAGGACUGCUGAGGCCUCCCCUCCACCUCGCCUCAAGUUGACAUUGGGCCUGUGGAAAUAGACCUCUAAGCCAGCCUUUCUUGCUAGUUUGGUUUUAGCCUUUCUUGGACUCAGCUUUGCCAUCUGUGAAAUAUGUGAGUCAUCUAGAUAGUGUCUGAAACCUACCAGCUCCAAGUCUAUGGUCCACGGAUGGGCUGUGAGGACAAUCAAGACUGAGGCAGGUUUUCACUCAAGUCCUGGAAUAUCUGGUCAUCCUUCCAGGGUUCUUCAUGGCAGGGAAACAAAAUCAACAACUGAAGAACAUGAGGUUCAGGAGAUUUAAGUCUGAGUUCCAGUGUUGGCUUUGGGUGCCUCUAAUCAACCACAAAUCUAUCCCAAGCCCGAGGCAGGCUGGUCUUACUCAACAUUUAUGGGGUCUUGCAGGGCUUAUGAGUGAGCUCAUGUGGGUGAGCUGUGGGUACCACAGGACCAGCACAGAUUGCUCCAGCACAUUGUCCAGCCACGAGACAGAAUUUCCCUCUUACAGAUCCAUUGAAUAGCCCUGGCCUGUGGGUUUGCUGUAAAGAUGCAAAAGCCCUGAAGCAUUAUCUGCCAAACCUCAGCCCUGACCAUGGUUAGGCUGACAUCAGGGGAGGCAGCAGGAGAGGGAGAGAAAAGGGUAUCUCAUUGUGGAACUGGGGCAGUGGUGGGCAGGGGCUGAUGCAGGAGGGGUGCCAUGGCCCAACUGCUCUUCACCCACGGUCCUUACACAGACCUGAUCCUGCUAAUUCUGACUCAGCUUUCAGACUCAGCCUGCGGACACUCAAUUUUUAGUAAUAAGCAGUCUCCUCAUAAUUUACUAUAUAGCAAAAUAAAUUUUUAAAAGAUAUUAAUAGUUGGCACCAGAGUCUCUUCACUUCAUUUAUUCAUUUUUACAACAAACAUCUAUUGAGCCCCUGGGAUGUGCUUGUGCUCUUUUGGGCUGUGCAGAUUUAACGGUAAAGAUAACAAUGUUCCAGUCCUACUCAAGUUUGCAUUCUGAUGCAGAGAAAGACAAUUAUAAAUCAUAAAAUAUGUAUAAUAUCAGUUAAGGAUUGGUGCUUGGAAUAAAAUAAAGAAGUAGAGAGGGGGAAAUUGGUCAUUUUUGAUAUGAUGGUCCAAGAAGCCUACUGAGGUAACAUGUAGCAGAGAUGAUUUUUAAGGAAAUGACUUUGAUCAGCAACAUGAGAUUGGUAUUGGAAUAUCGAGGACAUAAGUAAGACACAAUAAAUCAGAAGGUGUUAAAAAUAAAGAUGGAUUCAUGACUGAGGGGUGGGGAGAAAAGAAAAAAAAGACAAAGAAUCAUGAC
rnacentral:lncRNA from 10 species